GCGGCCCGCCCGCCGCCGGGCAGGGCGCGCUGGAGGACGCGGAGCAGCAGCCUGGAAGCCAUGGUGCCUUCCCCGGUACAAGGACCACCUACCUCAGGCAGCGUGUGAAAGCUGCUGGCUGCAGUCUCACUCCACACACACCCCUCCCCACGGAUGACCAGCAAGAUUCAUGAGCACAAGGAGGCCAGUGAAGAGAUCUCCUUGGAAACGCUGAUCUGUUGGGACUCAGGACCCUGCUGCUAGCCAGGCUGAAGACUGAUUCCUGCCCUGCAGCAACCCAAACCAGGACGAAGGAGGCUGAUCCUAUGGAGGGAACCUCGACAUGUGAAAGCCUCUUCAUUUAUAAUAUGGAGAUAUACCUGUCUCAUAGAACUGGAAGGAGGAAAAUACAAAUAAGAAUCUAUGUAAAAACAAAACCUGUACAGAGGAGUCAGCAAAUGAUGACCAAAUCAAUGGCUUGACGUCAUCUUCCAGUUUGUUUAGCUGUUUCUGAGCUGAGCUGAAGACUGAUACAAUGCAAACAGUGUUACUUUUGAAAAAUUAACUCUGAAUUUUUAAAAAUGCAGGAUGGCAUAUUUUCAAUACCCUGGCUCCCUCCAUUCUGAUAUUGGCCCAUAGUAGUCUUCAUGUAAACAGCUAAAUCUGGGUGGUGAAGGUUGAUACAAUAAUCUUGUGAUUGUAAACAGAAAUAGAGUUUGUUUAAAAUGUGUACACAUACCUAAUAUCAUAAGCUAUUAACAGAAUAUCUAUGUCAACUUAAACAUUACAUUUUAUUAAACAAGACAAUUACAACUCUUGGGUUGGGCACCUAGAAUCUGUCCUUUUGUUUUCAGGUGUUGUUAAAGAGCAGUUUUUAAAAAAUAAAAUUGAAGCCAAAAUUUCUCCUGUUCCUUCUUAGUCUGAAAAGUGACCUUUUUGUGUGUAAAAUUCCAGUUGGUCAUUUGAGUUGUCUUAGAAAGAAAAAGGGUUUCUGAUGCUCUCAAGAUUUUUUUUUUCCGUCAUUUUUCAGAAAACUGAGAAAUGGCUCCUUUCCAAAAUUUUACAUUCCCUUGACUAAGGACUUGUUACAUGUACUGAAAUAACUAAAUCUGUUUUAAUUCAUACCUUUUUAUUUUGCUGCAUGCUUGUGUGUGGACACUCUUAUUUUGGAUUAAGAGAAUACUGUUUUGUUUUAGAGUCGUAUUUUAAUUUAGUUGAAAUAAUAAGAGGUGAAAUAGCUAUACAGGCCUAGUAUAUUUUAAAAGAAUUAAAACUGGAUCAGUUAUUUUGGAGCAUAUUUGUGUGUAAGACAAGAUGUUGGUGUUAAAGUGGAACAAGUGUCUGACAUAUUCAAGGACACAUAGUUCUAAGGCUACAUUUAAAAAAAAAUACGGGUGCAAAAAAUUAGGUUCCUAAAUCCAAAUUUAGGUCACAGUCUGUAUGUGUAAAGUUAAGUAUUUGUGUGUGAGUAGUACUACAGAAGUCGUUGGUUCUAAUUCAGGAAAAAAUGUACUGAAAUCUAUCCCUAUUCAGGACAUCACUAACUCGAAGCAUGUGCUUAAGUACUAUCCUGAAUAGAUAUCCUUUCCUGAAUCAGGGCUAUAUUUUGUAAACACAACACUUCUGUCUGAAUUUAGUGGAAGUGACCAAACUUUAUACGGUUACUGGAAGGUCUCUACCAUAGGAAGACAACCAAAACACAGAGAAAAUAUGUAAAUAAACGCAAUACAAAAUUAAAGCUAGCAAGUACGGUGCAUGAAAUUAAAAAUUCUUUCAUAUCUCA